ACCUUACACAAAUAAAAGGCAAACACCUGUCGAAUAUCGGUUUUUCUUCCCUAUCCUUACCUCAAGUAAGGUUUCCUAAUUUUAAAGAUUUAGUCUCUAAUUUUUACGUGAUUAUUCACAACAAUUAUGUUUAAUAACAUUGAGAAUAUGGUGUGUAACGCGCAACAUUCGUUUUUGUUGGUUGCUGCUUAAAUUGAUAUACAUAUUUUGAUAUUAAGAUUACUAUUAUAGCGAUUAUUUACGUCUGCUACUUACAAUGCUCUAUGUUACAAUGCCCAAUGCUGUCUCUUUGUUACGACAUGAAAACAUAAAUAUAAGAUAAAUUUGAGUAUUUCGAAAUUCUUGUUUACAUUUGGUAAUUUAGUAUUUAGAUUGAAGAGCAGAAAAUAUAUGAAGUGGUCGAUGGUUAAUUAGAAACACUAAAUUACCUUACUGAGUAAUAUGAUUUAAAAUCUAAAUACGAUUAGUUACCAACUGUACUUACCAAGUAAGUAUUUACACACAUAUGUUAUUAGUCAAUUAACAAGUACACUUAAGAUGUUUAGAUAUGAGAAUAUUUUGUAUGUGUAUAUAUAUUUGUGCAUAUAUUGCCUGUAUAUAUACAUCGUAGGUACUAUGAGGUCACAUUGGUAACUCGUCUUAGAUCUUUGUUUUUCGUUUACUUGAUUACUAAUUUCUCGUGUUGCCAACAUCGUAAGCAGUUCAUAUUUCGUUAAAUAGUACUUAUCUUUCUAUAACACUUUCCAUACGCUAUAUACUAUACGUAGUAUAUAGUACCUACUAAUUUACGAAAUUUACGAAAUUAUAAUUUCAAUUCCGUUUACCGUAUGGUAACGAUUGUAGUUGUAUGGGUCUAGUUGUCUCUUAAUUGUAUUCUAUAUAUCAUAGCGAGAUAUAACCUUGUGUUUGUUUCCCAAUGAUUAAUUACAUUCUGAAUGCUCGAAAACCGAAAAUCGAAGGAACCACUUGGUAUCCGUUUUUCCUUAUCAACAAUUUUAAUGUAAAAUGUUUAGAGAACGUUCUGUUGCCAUAGUGGAACCUAUUUAUUUCAAAGGAAGCUUAUGGUAAGCAAAGAAUCGUGAGAGAAGCAAUGAUCUACAAUGUCUAAGUCUACACUAAUGAUAAGUAAAUAUGUAAAUUGUAAAGAGUUCAAGGGAAAAACGAUCAUAAUUGAAUUGAAAUCUUCAAAAUCUUCAUCUCGUGUCGAUCGAAGCGUAUCUCGCAUGUAUUAUAUUACGAUUACGUAAUCUUCUUGAUGUUCCUGAAUCCUGAUGGAGUGAUUUUACGACAUUUGGCAAGCGAAAUCUGAUAAAAAUUCUAAAUAUCUGAAGAGCAUCGGUGAGGAUCGAUCGGCAUCGGUUCACGUUCACAGCUUGUAGUUGUAAGGAAUAUUCUUUGUCUCUGGCUGGUGCGGUGCGAUCGAUCGGUAGCAAGAUGCGAGUUUGCGAGGCUUCUCGUCGUUCUUGUCAACGGGAAAGAGGAAAGAGAGAGACAGACGAUUUCAGAGGAUGUACAAUGUAUGUAUAUACUCUGAAACUCAAACUGUGUAUCCUCUAUGUAUCCUCUACUCGAGAAAACCGGUCGUUGUUUCGUCAUCCCGAUUACUCGGACGUUACUCUGUCUGACUUGCAUUUUAUGUUAGAAAUCAAGCUUUCCGUUAUAUGUACAUAGCUUGCUCUUCGAUGAUUUCGAUGUUUCAUGGAAACUUACUUCUGAUAUUUUCACCUUUCCAUGCCUUUCGACCUACAUCUAUGUAAUUUAGUUUGCACCAUUACUUUAUUAUUUUCGACUGGUUGUGAAUAUGUCAGCGGCUUGUUACGUAGACCGAGCUUAAAAGGAACGAAUUCGUGCCUCUUAUUCUGGAAACAUUUCUGUCGGAUACAUUUCUGUCUUAGUUGCUAACAAAUUAUAUAGAAGCUAUAAUAGAUUCGCAUUGACUUUUCAUCGAAACACAGGCAAAUGAGAUGAUCUAUUAUGAGUGCAAUAUUAUCCUUUUUAUAUAUGUACAUAUACUUGUGUAUUACUUUUUUUAAAAUUAUGAAAAUCGCUACUUUUAUACAAGAAUAACUUUUCAGUCGAUAAGCUGUACAAUAAGCGAUAUAUAAUAACAUUGCCAUUAAAUUUUAUUUAGACAUACUAAAGAACAUAAAAAUACAAUAAAAAGCAAUAUCGAAAAUAUGUAAUAAAUUUGAGUAUUUGUUGUUGAUGAUUGUAAUUGUUCAAGGUAAUGCUAUAUUACAUAUAAAGGUAAACCUAAUGAUAAAGUAAUUGGUUUAAUCACCGAAUUUCUGUGUUUGAAAUAAGACAGAAGGAAAAUAACUUGUUAGCGAAGAUUAAUUGAGAUAUUUAUUGCAAAGUAAUUAUUAUACUUUAAGACGUAAGUAAUGCUUUACGGAUCAUCUAACUAAUUGUAAGUUGUUUAAUUAUACUUAUUUAGUAAUUAUUUUCAACUAUGCAAAGUCUACUUUUGCCUAUACGUACACGUCGUAUACACGUGUCACUGACAUUUGCGCCUUGCACAGAUUGUCCGCUACAUAUGUAUGUAUGUAUGUCCGUGGAUAUAUACAAUAGAUAUACAAUAUAUAUGUGCAUCUUGGCUGUUGGUGUAUUUGUGGUGCAACCAUGAGGAUAAGUUCAACAGAUGGGCCUCUUCCUCUCCUUUCUCUGUUCCACCUUACUCGUUCCUUUCUCCUGCAAUUGCUUUUUUCUUCGUAGGCGUUCACAUGCAUAAAAUAUGUACGCAGUUCUCAUCAUUUCUAUGGAAGUUGGAGUUGCUGGUGUCUAUUAAAUUAAUUUCAUAGAUGGUACUUCCUUGGGAAUUUAUUUUCUAUUUGAAAUUGUACAAAGAGUAGGAAUGUGCAUGGUCAAAUUAAGUUGUCUAUAAUUUGCUAUUCGUGUUAUCUCGAACUGUCAUAUCGGCACUCGCUAUGCAAGUGUCGUCUUCAAUAUUCUUUUGAAAUUACUUAUUAUAUAUAUAAGUAAUAGUUUAUGUUAAUAAAAUGUUUAGUAUCGUUAUGCCGUGUGAUUAAUUUGUUUGUGUCGAACUUUCCUUAAUGAGAAGGAAAAAUGUCUGACAACCUACAAAUGAAAAUUUUCAUGUGUGAACGCGAUUUUCUUAAUUAAAUGUCGCAUGACUUGUUAACCUUAUGACUUGUAAUUUAACUUGAACUCUGAACGAGUUUCAAGUAAAAGUUUUUAGUAAGCAUACAUAUAUGUAUUUAUAUAGGUCGUAGGUUUAUAUUUUAUCUAUCAAAAUUUAUUAUCACAAAAAAUUAUUUUAACAAGUAACUUACAGAUUACUUUAUAACCGUAUACCCAUAUGUGUAAUUUAUAUUAUCAACUGAUAAAACAACCGUGUUGUAAAACAAUCGCGUCUUAUUUAUUUAUUUAGGUUGGCAGUUGACAAACUUACAUAUAUAGGUACUUAUAUCUUCUUUAUAAUCGUUUACCCGAUGAAAAUCUGUUUAGGAUUAAAUUAACUUAAUUCGAGAUUACGCAAACUAUUAAUUUAGAAAGACAAAAGACUAUUACUGAAUACUGAAUACUGAAGGGGUUUAGUCAUUUUCGAAAUGAAUGAGCGUGAUUACGUUUCACGUUUGUUAUUUUACAAUUUUUUUUUUUAUUAAGACGACUUUUCUUUCUUCUUAAAUAAUUAAAUAUUUAUUUAUUUGGUAAUUUUAGUACUGAUCGUCUUUAUUAAGUAGUUAGCAACGACUUAUUAUUAAUGAUCUUUGGUAAAUGAUCUCUGGCGUCUGGAUCGUUUAUCGUGUUUGUUACCUACUGUACUGAAACUAAAAGUGCUUAAAACAUUUUAAUAUUUGUUGCGAUUGAUCGAUUUAUACCUAUCUAUAAAAUGUUCCUUAUGGUCAAUAUGUUGGUACUGAUGCUUUAUUUUUAAAAGGUCUUAAAACGACAAAAAUGAUCGGGCAAACCUUUCAAUUACUGAUUAAAUAUCGAGGCUGAUGCUAUAACAUUAUGUACACAAAUAUCUUGUUCUGAUUAUAGAAACGAGUAAUAGAGAUAAAAAACUAGUGUAGAAUCGAUAAUCGAAGAACGUUCAGCCUAAUAUAAAUAUACAUGCAUAUGUAUGUGUACAUAAACGUUUUUCAUUUGAAGUUACUUAGAGGGCUGCGGAUAUUGUAUUAUGUCUGACGAAAUGCUACUUGUAUGGAAUUUGUGAUAACUCUUACAUUGACAUUUAUUCUGUGCUUUUUUAUGAGCCUUUUGAAGAAGAUGAACAAUUUCAGAAAGGAAGGAUGUAGAUGUAAAAAAAUAUAAGAAUAGAAUUUGUUCUUUUGUUACGGAUUCUUCGCUAAAUUAAUUGGAUUAUAUGUAACAAUAAAUCGUUUCAAAUUAUUGACGUAAGUUUGGUUAUACAAUAUGUAUAUAUUUCUAUCGGCAAUAUAAUAUUUAUAUUGAUUAAUUAAGUCACGUGUGUUUCGAUUCUAUCAAGUUUUCUGUGAAACGAAUAAUCAGAAGCCCUUGGAUGACAAUUCAUUCGGUAAAAUCAACCGUACGCGAUUUAACAGCGACACUAUGAGAUAUACCUACUAUGCAACAAACAAGAUUGUAUGUAGUUUCAAAUAAAAAUUUGUACGACGUUCCUUUCAUUAGAUCAUAAUAUUGCUACAACUUGUUUUCAGAUUCCUUUCUGUCAUUUUAUUUAAAUGCAACCACGAAACCAUAAUGAAUUUAGACGAUAAAGUCAGAUUGUUCAAGUUUAUUAACCUCUAGGAAAUUUCACGCAAAAUGAAAAAGUAUCUUUAUUUAAGAAAAUAUAAUAUAACAACGUUUUUCAAUGAACAUUUUCAAUACUUUUAUGAAAAAGAAGUACGUCGUAUUUUAACCGAUAUUUUGUUUUUGUAAAAGUUACGAUUAAAUAUUCAAAGGUGUAAUAUUGAAAAUAUACGAUUAAAAAUCUACCGUUGAUUCGAAUAUGUUCAAUAUAUUAUUAUUAAAUACUUAAAAAUUCUUUAGCUAAGUAAAAUUUGUACGAGUUUAAGUUUGCAUUCCAGCUUUCGCAUGAAUGUAAAAAAUGUUUUUCAAAAGCAACCUAUACAAUGACUAAACUGGCAAUGUUGAUCUUUUGCAUAAAGGGUGGAUCUUUUGGUAAAGGGGGGAUCAAGCUACGCGGUAGAGGAAUGUAACAAUUUUUUAAGCUAAAUUGAACACUAUAGGAUAUCAGGAGAUGAUACAUGACGAACUCUAUUGCUUUUCGUAACCGAAAUAGAAGAUAAAAGGACAAUUUUUCAACAAGACAUUGCUCCCAUUCAUAGUCAGCUGCCACUACAAAAAAGUGGUUUCAAGAUUUCGGAAUUAUUAUCAUAGCCAGCUUUUAGAAACUAAAGUGGUAAGUUGACUUGAAAAGGAAAAGGAUAAUCUUGAGACGAAAGUGAAGGUGAAAAUCGGCAUAAGAUAAAAGAAAGGUAAAGAAAAUAUAAAAUUCAAACAUUUCUAAUAUCAAAGGUAGACAGCUAGACGUAGAGUAGAUGUAAGAUGUAAUUCAAAUCUUGUGCCCUUCUUAUUUAACAGUAAAUAGAAACUGUUCUGGCAGUUUGUCAAAUUGAUACGUAUAUUUAGAUGAGUAUGCACGUGAAAAUGUCAUCUACACCUUAUCUCGAAAUAAAAGACAUUGAUAUCGUUCGAAUAAUCUAAGAUUUUGUCAAAUACAUACAUGUAUACAUACGUAUAUACAUAUAUAGCUAGACUUAUGUUAGUGUUAGAUCAACUAGGUAUUCGACUUGCUUUCUAGUGUUUUUAUAAACAGGCCUAUGAACACUUGUAUAAUACACAUACAUAUUAUACAUAUUUAUAUCGAUAUAAAAUAAAACUGAAUUCUUAAUAAAAACCGUGUAUUUUCAAAGGGCAUUGAUAUAUUAUUUCUAGUCGCAAACAUAAACAUAGCAGCCGUUUUCCUGUACCGUCGAAGCUGCGCGGCAAUUUAUUUUCAAAUUCAUGGUGGUCCAUUCCGUUAAAUGAUUAAACAGAAACGAAAGGCAGUGAUUGCUUUUUACCCAUGCAGCAACGCAGUUGUAUGGACUACAAAUAUGCAUUGGUAAUGUAUUUUUAGAAGACUACGGAGGAUACUUAAAAAUAAACGUACGACUGUUAUUAAACAAGCCAUAAAUGCUUUAAACCGUACUUACGUGGUUGGCUUAGCUAGUACCUAAAAUCUACGAUCUAUAGUAAAUUAUUCUUGAAAGUUUAGUUUAAUACCAAGUUAUUGAUCGAAUUGAGGACAAGAACAAUAUUGUCAUAACUGUCAUAGCUAUAGCAGAUUUUCUUCGAAUAAUAUUUUUAUAAUGGAUGAGUCGAGACAUUUAAGAUAUUAAUUGUUAUUAAUAUCUUGUACAUAUAGAGAACAUUGCUGGAGAAUUUCGAUAUAAAUUAAAAUUAUUUUUGUAUUAUCGAAAAUUUCUUCAUGGAACAAAUAAACGCGAAAUAUUCAUUUUCUUCCUGAAAUGUAUAAAUUUAGCGGAGCGGCAAAUGCUACAAACCAAAUUUGGCCUUCGCUCUUUCAUUUGUUUCAAUAUUUUCCGAACGUUCGUUUUGUUCGUUUGCUCCAUUUAUCAUCAUCGUAUAUUAUUUUACAUCGUAUUUUGACGUAAACAAGUAAAAAAUUCGCGUCGCCAGGCUGGUGCGCGAACGGUUCGUUUUCUGACCCUGAGCAAAGAUCAUAUGUAAAUACGUCACUGCAGUGGUUAUGGUUACCGGCAAAGAUAAUUUAAAUCGCGUGACGAUCGCGGAUCACGGAUCACGGAUCACGGCCUAGACGCUACAAGAAUUUCCCGCUCUGUAGUUUCUCACGUUUUUACUGUUUCUAGGUCUUUGUUCCUGUGCUAUUUCAGCGUUACUUUAGUUUUUCUCUUAGUAAACUGCGACUGGGGGGAUUCUUAAUACCAAACGAUUUAAACUAAUUAAAAGUCGUUAAUUGUUGUAACAGAAAUUUUUAGAAGCUAUUGCAAUGAAAAGAACGUAGGUAAGAAUUACGCAUACUGUAUCGAAAAUAAAAGGUCAUUUAUUUACAUUCGUAAAAGAAAACUUCGUAAACAUUCGUAAAAUCAUUCUUUUUGAUGAAAAGUUAAAAGAAGAGUGGAAAGUCGGUUGUUGCUAAGAAUAACGCAAUGUUUAUAUUAUUUAGUUGAGGUAAAAGUGUCCCAGAAGGAAGGAAAAUGAUUUGCAAAAGCUGUGAAUGCUAUGUCGCGUCGUGACGGCUGUUUUUACUUUCCUUCUCGCUAAACGUUAAAGCUACCGUAGCAAAGCAAUAAAAGAUAAUUUAAAGAUAUUCUCGUAGCAGCACGAAAGCAAAUGCCCCUAAAAGAGAAAACCUUUCACUCCGAGAAGCUGAAAUGGAUGUUACAGGUGAAACUGUAGAAUCUAACGUGAAGUUGAAUUAUAAGCUUAAAUUUUAAACGCAUGACUAUUUUCCCCUAUGUCUCUUUUUUUUAAAUUUUUUGAAUUUCUACCUAUUUGAAUAUUUCCUUUAAUUCAGAUAUAUACUCUGAUCCUAAAGUCUCUCACGAUCAGAUUGAGAAACUUAAAUUCUGUUUAUCGUAGAUUGUAAGCAACGCAUCCCUUCUUUUCUAGCUCUAUAAUUUCACUACAAAUUUAUUUCAUACGUUCAUAUGUCUUAGUAAAGCAAAAAAAAAAAAAAACAAAUUCUAUCUAGCUGCUAAUUGUUUCUUCACCAGCAAAUACGUAAUUAAUUUAAGUUGAAAUCGGAUUUAUGAUAGAUUCAACGAUAAAAACGAUUAUAUCACAAAUCACAUAUUAGAUAUGUGAUUUACAGUGUACGUUAUUACGUAAUAUAAUCUAUAGGUAUACAUAAGUACAUGUAAUUAUGUAAUUAUACCUAUCUCUUCAUAAGAUAUGAAAUAAAUUAUUAUCUACGUGUUUUUGUAUUA